rnacentral:rRNA from 2 species
GAUUUCUGGCGUGGUGCGCCGAGCCCGCCUCGUUUUCGGGGUGAGUGCUUGCUGUGCGCCUGCCAUCCUUCGGGGGUGCUUCCGUGUGGCGCAAGCUGCGCGGGUUCAUAAGUUGCUUCCGAUCGUUUACUUUGAAAAAAUUAGAGUGUUCAAAGCAGGCUAGACGCUAUGAAUACAUUAGCAUGGAAUAAUAAGAUAGGACUUGGGUUCUAUUUUGUUGGUUUCUAGGACUUAAGUAAUGAUUGAUAGGGACAGUUGGGGGUGCUAGUAUUUGACGGCCAGAGGUGAAAUUCUUGGAUUCGUUAAAGACUAACUAAUGCGAAAGCAUU